rnacentral:lncRNA from 1 species
UAGUGAGAAAACCCUUUCUCUCUUCUCACACGCCUUGUGAUAUAUGUGCAAAUCAACAUCCAUGAGAAAGGAAUCCCCCUUUGAAUCAUUCGCGGUCAAUAUAAUUAUUUUGAAUUAAACUUCAUUUACAUUUACAAAGUCUUCUUUUUGCCUAUACAAGACUCUUUCUUUGCUCGUUUAGUAUACUAUAGGUAAUUCGGAAGGGC